rnacentral:rRNA from 1 species
UACAGAGGUCCCGAGCGUUGUUCGGAUUCACUGGGCGUAAAGGGUGCGCAGGUGGGUUUGCAAGUUCGAUGUGAAAGCCCCGGGCUUAACCCGGGAAUGGCAUUGGAUACUGCAGAUCUGGAGGAUCGGAGGGGGGACUGGAAUUCUUGGUGUAGCAGUGAAAUGCGUAGAUAUCAAGAGGAACACCAGUGGCGAAGGCAGCUCUCUGGGACGGUACUGACGCUGAGACGCGAAAGCGUGGGGAGCGAACAGG